UACAGUCAAAUUGCAUUGAAAACACUGGCUUUCAUUCGAUCACCAAAGUUAAGCAGUGUGAAGCCCAGUCAGUACUUAGAUCAGGGACUGCAUGGGAAAACCAGG